rnacentral:rRNA from 1 species
AGUGAACGCUGGCGGUAGGCCUAACACAUGCAAGUCGAACGGCAGCACAGUAAGAGCUUGCUCUUACGGGUGGCGAGUGGCGGACGGGUGAGGAAUACAUCGGAAUCUACUUUUUCGUGGGGGAUAGCGUAGGGAAACUUACGCUAAUACCGCAUACGACCUACGGGUGAAAGCAGGGGAUCUUCGGACCUUGCGCGAUUGAAUGAGCCGAUGUCGGAUUAGCUAGGUGGCGGGGUAAAGGCCCACCAAGGCGACGAUCCGUAGCUGGUCUGAGAGGAUGAUCAGCCACACUGGAACUGAGACACGGUCCAGACUCCUACGGGGGGCAGCAGUGGGGAAUAUUGGACAAUGGGCGCAAGCCUGAUCCAGCCAUACCGCGUGGGUGAAGAAGGCCUUCGGGUUGUAAAGCCCUUUUGUUAGGAAAGAAAAGCAGCAGGUUAAUACCCCGCUGUUCUGACGGUACCCAAAGAAUAAGCACCGGCUAACUUCGUG